UACGGAGGGUGCGAACGUUAAUCGGAAUUACUGGGCGUAAAGCGCGCGUAGGCGGUUCGGUAAGUGGGAUGUGAAAGCCCUGGGCUCAACCUGGGAACUGCAUUCCAAACUGCCGGGCUAGAGUGUGGUAGAGGGAGGUAGAAUUUCCUGUGUAGCGGUGAAAUGCGUAGAUAUAGGAAGGAAUACCAGUGGCGAAGGCGGCCUCCUGGAUCAACACUGACGCUGAGGUGCGAAAGCGUGGGGAGCAAACAGG
rnacentral:rRNA from 1 species